rnacentral:rRNA from 1 species
CGCCUAACACAUGCAAGUCGCACGAGAAAGGGCUUCGGCCCCGGUAAAGUGGCGCACGGGUGAGUAACACGUGGGUAAUCUGCCCUCGAGCUGGGGAUAACAUUCCGAAAGGAGUGCUAAUACCGAAUAAGACCACGACCUCGAAAGAGGAUGCGGUCAAAGCUGGCCUCUAUACAUAAGCUAGCACUUGAGGAUGAGCCCGCGGCGCAUCAGCUAGUUGGUGAGGUAAUGGCUCACCAAGGCUAAGACGCGUAGCUGGUCUGAGAGGAUGAUCAGCCACACUGGAACUGAGACACGGUCCAGACUCCUACGGGAGGCAGCAGUGGGGAAUCUUGCGCAAUGGGCGAAAGCCUGACGCAGCGACGCCGCGUGAGUGAUGAAGGCCCUUCGGGUUGUAAAGCUCUGUGGGGGGAGAAGAAUUAGUGCAGCCUAAUACGUUGCAUGAUGACGGUAUCCCCUUAGCAAGCACCGGCUAACUCUGUGCCAGCCGCGGC